GGAGGUAGUGACAAUAAAUCACAAUGCGGAACAAUGUUUUGCAAUUGGAUUGAGAACAACGUACAAACCUUAUCGAUAAACAAUUGGAGGGCAAGUCUGGUGCCAGCAGCCGCGGUAAUUCCAGCUCCAAUAGCGUAUAUUAACGUUGUUGCAGUUAAAAAGCUCGUAGUUGAAAUGAAGGGUAGUUGUGUAAUGAAUACAUUCGUGUAUUUUGUUAUUCAACUACCCUCCUUCUAAAUUCGAUAUAUGAGUAUUAAUUUACUUGUAUAUGGUUUUAGACCUUUACUGUGAGAAAAUUAGAGUGUUCAAAGCAGGCAUUUGCUUGAAUAUAUUAGCAUGGAAUAAUCAUGUAUGAUUUUCAUGAUGUAUUUGAUUGGUUUGGUUCAUGAGAAUAAGAUUAAAAGGGACAGUUGGGGGUAUUCAUAUUCAAUAGUCAGAGGUGAAAUUCUCGGAUUUAUGGAAGAUGAACAAGUGCGAAAGCAUUUACCAAGGAUGUUUUCAUUAAUCAAGAACGAAAGU
rnacentral:rRNA from 1 species